rnacentral:rRNA from 1 species
CACGUAGGGGGCAAGCGUUGUCCGGAUUUAUUGGGCGUAAAGAGCUCGUAGGCGGUUCAGUAAGUCAGGUGUGAAACCUCCAGGCUCAACCUGGAGACGCCACCUGAUACUGCUGUGACUGGAGUCCGGUAGGGGAGCGUGGAAUUCCUGGUGUAGCGGUGAAAUGCGCAGAUAUCAGGAGGAACACCAGCGGCGAAGGCAGCUCGCUGGGACGGUACUGACGCUGAGGCGCGAAAGCGUGGGGAGCAAACAGG